UGGGGAAUAUUGCACAAUGGGCGCAAGCCUGAUGCAGCCAUGCCGCGUGUAUGAAGAAGGCCUUCGGGUUGUAAAGUACUUUCAGUCGGGAGGAAGGUGGUAAGGUUAAUAACCUUAUCAAUUGACGUUACCGACAGAAGAAGCACCGGCUAACUCCGUGCCAGCAGCCGCGGUAAUACGGAGGGUGCAAGCGUUAAUCGGAAUUACUGGGCGUAAAGCGCACGCAGGCGGUUGAUUGAGUCAGAUGUGAAAUCCCCGGGCUUAACCCGGGAAUUGCAUCUGAUACUGGUCAGCUAGAGUCUUGUAGAGGGGGAUAGAAUUCCAUGUGUAGCGGUGAAAUGCGUAGAGAUGUGGAGGAAUACCGGUGGCGAAGGCGGCCCCCUGGACAAAGACUGACGCUCAGGUGCGAAAGCGUGGGGAGCAAACAGG
rnacentral:rRNA from 1 species